rnacentral:lncRNA from 1 species
GUUAACUUUUCACCCUAAACUUUGUGACUCUGUGAGCUGCAAGUGCCCAGAGCACCUAAAGGAGAAGCUGGAGCAGUACGUGAAGCAGCUGCAGGUGGUGAGGGUGGUGCGGCAGGAGGAGCGGAAGGGGCUGAUCACCGCCCGGCUGCUGGGGGCCAGCGUGGCACAGGCGGAGGUGCUCACGUUCCUGGAUGCCCACUGUGAGUGCUUCCACGGCUGGCUGGAGCCCCUCCUGGCUCGAAUCGCUGAGGACAAGACAGUGGUGGUGAGCCCAGACAUCGUCACCAUCGACCUUAAUACUUUUGAGUUCGCCAAGCCCGUCCAGAGGGGCAGAGUCCAUAGCCGAGGCAACUUUGACUGGAGCCUGACCUUCGGCUGGGAAACACUUCCUCCACAUGAGAAGCAGAGGCGCAAGGAUGAAACCUACCCCAUCAAAUCCCCGACGUUUGCUGGUGGCCUCUUCUCCAUCUCCAAGUCCUACUUUGAGCACAUCGGUACCUAUGAUAAUCAGAUGGAGAUCUGGGGAGGGGAGAACGUGGAAAUGUCCUUCCGGGUGAGAGUGAAGAGGGCUUUGGGGGGAACCACAACAUCCCAGGCGACAGCUUGAGAAACAUCUCUCAGGCAGAGGUGGCAUCAGGGACAUCCCA